UUUGCAACUUUUCAUUUUUUGAACUAACUAAAUAGUUCCCAACAUUGGUUAUCCAACACAGCAAGUACACGACUUAUGUCAGUUUGCAGAAAAUAUGUCAUUUCCUAUGGUUACACACUUUUUCAAAUGCUAUCAUUACACGCUUCAUCUUAUGGUUACAUACUUUUUCAAUUGCUAUCCUUACACGCUUCAUCUGUAUCUGAAAUCUAUUCUUUUUCAUCAUUUUACAUCUCUUUCUUCAACUCUUUCAUUUGUCCUUCAAACAUUAGGACGGUACGACCCUUGGCAAUGAUAAAAUGACAUACAUGAGGAAAUAGCUUUAGAAAUUUACUUUGGAAUUCCCCCGUAAAUGGUUUAGGCUAUCCAACAACAAAGAGCAUUUGGAUCUGAUUUUUAUUGAUAAAGUGUAAGAAACUGGUAUCUUUUUACUAAUUCUAAUCAUUUUUUAUGAAUGUUAUUUUGAACAUGAUAUUUUGGUUUGUUUACACUUUCAUGAAAUUGGUUGAGCCACAUUUCUCCAAAAUCUAUCCACAACAACUUUCCUGUUCAAAUCUUUGUUUGAAGUUUUUACCCCAAACACAAAUGGCUUGAAUUCAUUUUCCCUAUUUUUUGGUGAUCAAUUUUUUAUCUUCUUUCAUUCUGUUUUUUGGUGACCAAUUUGUUACAUUCUUUCAUUGUCAAUAUCGGGUGUCAAAAUAUUAUUUAUACCAAAACUACUUCUAUUAUCACCAUACAUGUGAAGUUAUUCAGCUGAGGAAUCAGGUAACUAGUAAUCUGCAAAAUGUGUCAUAUAAUCUUUUAUGUAUGUAUUAGCUGGAAUUUCGACGUUGGAAAAAAAUAUAAUAUUUUCGACGAAGAGUUGAGGAGGCAUAGUCGAAAGAAUAUUUUUGUUAAAGAAGGUUUGGUCUGGAAUUUAGAAAUAUUCUUGGAUUCAGAUUUACUUUUCGACGAAGGUGUCUAUUGGGAGUUGCGUUCGACGAGCGUGAUUUAAAUUAAGGCUCGUAACCGUUUUUUGGCCUUAUCCCUUUCUUGAGAAGACGCGUGGAAAGCAAUGAGUAGUGAAGUCCAUGCAAGCGAGAAUGUGUCAUCUUUUGCAUAAGAGACCGUUUAUUAUGUUAUUUCUGAUUUAUUAUAAAUAGGGAUCUUAGUGAUUAGUAUUGGGGCGUUCCAUUUUGUACAAAAACUCAUAUAUUACUCAAAGUAUUCGUGUUAUUGAAAAACGAGUUCUUGAAUGCAAUGUCUGUGUGAUCACCAUUUUUACUUUUGUAUCAAAUUAUUAUAAUUUUGUUA